rnacentral:rRNA from 1 species
CCUACGGGUGGCUGCAGUGGGGAAUAUUGGACAAUGGGCGAAAGCCUGAUCCAGCCAUGCCGCGUGUGUGAAGAAGGCCUUCGGGUUGUAAAGCACUUUCAGUGGGGAAGAAAGCCUUGUGGCUAAUACCCUCGAGGAAGGACAUCACCCACAGAAGAAGCACCGGCUAACUCCGUGCCAGCAGCCGCGGUAAUACGGAGGGUGCGAGCGUUAAUCGGAAUUACUGGGCGUAAAGCGCGCGUAGGCGGUCUGAUAAGCCGGUUGUGAAAGCCCCGGGCUCAACCUGGGAACGGCAUCCGGAACUGUCAGGCUAGAGUGCAGGAGAGGAAGGUAGAAUUCCCUGUGUAGCGGUGAAAUGCGUAGAGAUCGGGAGGAAUACCAGUGGCGAAGGCGGCCUUCUGGACUGAAACUGACGCUGAGGUGCGAAAGCGUGGGUAGCAAACAGGAUUAGAUACCCCAGUAGUC